GAUGAAGAACGUAGCGAAAUGCGAUACGUAAUGUGAAUUGCAGAAUUCAGUGAAUCAUCGAAUCUUUGAACGCACAUUGCGCCCGCCAGCACUCUGGCGGGCAUGCCUGUUCGAGCGUCAUUUCAACCAUCAAGCCCCAGGCUUGCGUUGGAGCCCUGCGGUUGCCGCAGCCUCCUAAAAGCAGUGGCGGGCUCGCUAUCACACCGAGUGCAGUAGAUUACUCUUCGCUCAGGGCGUGCAGCGGGUUCCGGCCGUGAAACCCCCUACUUUUAAAGGUUGACCUUGGAUCAGGUAGGAAUACCCGCUGAACUUAAGCAUAUCAAUAAGCGGAGGA
rnacentral:misc_RNA from 1 species